rnacentral:rRNA from 1 species
CCAACUACGUGCCAGCAGCCGCGGUAAUACGUAGGGUCCAAGCGUUGUCCGGAAUUACUGGGCGUAAAGAGCUCGUAGGUGGUUUGUCGCGUUGUUCGUGAAAACUCACAGCUCAACUGUGGGCGUGCGGGCGAUACGGGCAGACUUGAGUACUGCAGGGGAGACUGGAAUUCCUGGUGUAGCGGUGGAAUGCGCAGAUAUCAGGAGGAACACCGGUGGCGAAGGCGGGUCUCUGGGCAGUAACUGACGCUGAGGAGCGAAAGCGUGGGGAGCGAACAGGAUUAGAUACCCUGGUAGUCCACGCCGUAAACGGUGGGUACUAGGUGUGGGUUUCCUUCCUUGGGAUCCGUGCCGUAGCUAACGCAUUAAGUACCCCGCCUGGGGAGUACGGCCGCAAGGCUAAAACUCAAAGAAAUUGACGGGGGCCCGCACAAGCGGCGGAGCAUGUGGAUUAAUUCGAUGCAACGCGAAGAACCUU